GGCGAAGCCGCGAGGUGGAGCGAAUCCCAAAAAAGACCGGUCUAAGUUCGGAUUGCAGGCUGCAACCCGCCUGCAUGAAGUCGGAAUCGCUAGUAAUCGCGAGUCAGCAUAUCGCGGUGAAUACGUUCCCGGGUCUUGUACACACCGCCCGUCACACCAUGGGAGUUGGCAACACCCGAAGUCGAUGAGCUAACCUUUUAGGAGGCAGUCGCCUAAGGUGGGGCUGAUAACUGGGGUGAAGUCGUAACAAGGUACC
rnacentral:rRNA from 1 species